GCCUCCCAAAUGCUGCCACUAAAGGCAUGGGUCACCCUCGACAUUUUUGUUUGUUUGACAAAAAGUUUUGCUAUGUUGCCCAGUGGUGUGGAUUUGAACUCCUGAACUCAAGGGAUCCUCCCACAUUGGCUUCUCAAGCGCUGGGACUAAGAGCAUGAGUUCCGUGACCUUGCCAAUGCCUUGACCUGCCUGAAGCUGGAGGUACUAUAGGCACUCCCUCAACACUGCCACAGGAUCACAGGACAUCAUCCACCAAGGGGGCCUGGCAGAUCAGAUGCCUUCCCCCACCACAGGGGGAUGAAAUUGAAGUCACUAGCCCAGCGUUCCUUUGGUCAUGGAGAGAGGACCCAAGAUUCAGCCCCAGACAUACCUAACCCGGAAGCUUGUGCUUGUCCCCUCAUGACCCUGCAUGCAUUUGGCUGAUCACAAACAUACUGUGGAGAUGACGAGAUGUUUUAGGUCUUGUCAAGAGACAAUCACACAAAGCA
rnacentral:lncRNA from 1 species